UACGGCGGAUGCUAGCGUUGUCCGGAAUGACUGGGCGUAAAGGGUGCGUAGGCGGCUAUCCUCGUCGCGCGUGCAAUACCUGGGCUCAACCUGGGGGAAGCGUGCGAUACGUGGGGGCUUGAGUGUGGGAGAGGGUCGAGGAAUUCCCAGAGUAGAGGUGAAAUGCGUAGAUAUAGGGAAGAACACCGGUGGCGAAGGCGGUCACCUGGUCCAUGACUGACACUGAGGCGCGAAAGCGUGGGGAGCAAACAGG
rnacentral:rRNA from 1 species